AUCACUUCUUGUUCUUUUGGUUAAGAUCAAGUGUAGUCUUUGUUUUUAUCAGUUUAGUAGCUGAUAUGUUUUUUUUUUUGGACAUGGGGGCCAUAUAUUAAAUUGUUUUUUUAAACAGGGAGAUGAAAUAGGGGCUUGCUCUCUCAUUUUUUUAAUUCAUUUUAUUCACCACCAUAAUAACUAAAUAAAAACGG